UUCUGAAAUGGGGGAAUGCUUAGCAGGCUGUUCCUGCUGCAGAACUGCUAGCAGAAGCAGAUACUGAAAUGAUAUCCAUGAGAAUAUCUAUAUAGAUUUCUGCAUUUUGUACCCCGGUCAACGGAUAGUAGAGGGUCAGAGCAGCAGCCCUGACCACCUGACUCCUUGCCACGAGGGCCCAAGGCCAGUUCUGAGCGCAUCAGGACUUUUCCGCCCUCUUACUUGCCCCGGGUCAGACUCUGUGUAUAUUCAAUAUACUCUUCUUCCAUUUGCGGGUAUAAACUUGGCUCAAUUUGCAAGAGGAAUACAUCUGAGGCAGAGUUGGGAGUUUCAGGGAACAAAUUGAACAGGCCCGUCCAGACAAAACUAAUGUAUGGACUGUGGCAGAGGGCAAUGGCAGUGGAAAAUCCAGGAGGGCAUGGGUUUGCAGCUGUGGGGCCAUAGGAAGUCAAUGAAGCUGAUGAAGUGGUCAGGAAGGGGAUAUGAUGAAUGCAGCAAGAAAGAGAACGACAUAAAAUAUGACGCAUCAGCGGAAUUAUUUUGAAAUAGAAUAUUUUGCCUUGUUUUCCACCAGGCAUCAGAGACUCUACGUUUAAGAUGAUUUAUUGGAAGUGCAUCACCAUUUAGUUGAUUCCUGUGGCUGAGAACAGACAGCUGAUGAAUCUGAAGAUUAAUGGGACACACCUGAUCCAGUCUGCUUGUUAGUGCAAUCAGUUCUGCAACUCUAAUCUGCUUUGAAGUUAUGUCUCUCACUUUGUUAUUGUUACCAAACCAAUAUGUCUGUCUAAUUUGCAAGGUUAUUGGUAAGAAACCUAAGCAUUUGUUGUGAAAUCUCGGUUGUUGAAACCCACUGAAGCCACUGGGCCUACCUGUUUUGUUAGUUUGAGGCCUAAAAUUUCCUAAUCUGUGAAAGAGUGCUGGACAAUACCAACAUACUUUACAGAAUCAUUCCUGCAUUCUAGAGAAGAUAUACAAUAUAACAAAUAACCACAUAUAGGCACUUUCACAGUUUGUAAGGGUAUGAUCUAUCCCAUCUAGCACUGCAAAUCAUUUUAGAUUUUUGUAUAUGUAUGUGAAACACUAAAAAGUAAUUAAAAUUAUGGUAGUGAA